GACGAACGCUGGCGGCGUGCUUAACACAUGCAAGUCGAACGGCAAGGCCCUGCUUUUGUGGUGUGCUCGAGUGGCGAACGGGUGAGUAACACGUGAGUAACCUGCCCUUGACUUUGGGAUAACUUCAGGAAACUGGGGCUAAUACCGGAUACGAGCUCCUGCUGCAUGGUGGGGGUUGGAAAGUUUCGGCGGUUGGGGAUGGACUCGCGGCGUAUCAGCUUGUUGGUGGGGUAGUGGCUUACCAAGGCUUUGACGGGUAGCCGAUCUGAUAGGGUGACCGGACACGGCGGGAUCGAGAUAGGACCCAGACGCCUACGGGUAGCAGCAGUAGGGAAUGUUGCACUAUGGGCGGAAGCCUGAUGCAGCAAGGCCGCGUGCUGGAUGACAGCCUUCCGGUUGUAAACCGCUUUAGCAUGUGACGAAGAUUAUGUGCCAGUAAUUGAUAAAGAAGCACCGGCUAACUACGUG
rnacentral:rRNA from 1 species